GUGGCGAACGGGUGAGUAACACGUGGGCAAUCUGCCCUUCACUCUGGGACAAGCCCUGGAAACGGGGUCUAAUACCGGAUAACACUCUGUCCCUCAUGGGGCGGGGUUAAAAGCUCCGGCGGUGAAGGAUGAGCCCGCGGCCUAUCAGCUUGUUGGUGGGGUAAUGGCCUACCAAGGCGACGACGGGUAGCCGGCCUGAGAGGGCGACCGGCCACACUGGGACUGAGACACGGCCCAGACUCCUACGGGAGGCAGCAGUGGGGAAUAUUGCACAAUGGGCGAAAGCCUGAUGCAGCGACGCCGCGUGAGGGAUGACGGCCUUCGGGUUGUAAACCUCUUUCAGCAGGGAAGAAGCGAAAGUGACGGUACCUGCAGAAGAAGCACCGGCUAACUACGUGCCAGCAGCCGCGGUAAUACGUAGGGUGCGAGCGUUGUCCGGAAUUAUUGGGCGUAAAGAGCUCGUAGGCGGCUUGUCACGUCGGAUGUGAAAGCUCGGGGCUUAACCCCGAGUCUGCAUUCGAUACGGGCUAGCUAGAGUGUGGUAGGGGAGAUCGGAAUUCCUGGUGUAGCGGUGAAAUGCGCAGAUAUCAGGAGGAACACCGGUGGCGAAGGCGGAUCUCUGGGCCAUUACUGACGCUGAG
rnacentral:rRNA from 1 species